UGUGUGUGUGUAUGUAAUAUAUCUUUUCUGAGAUGGAGUGAUCUGAACUGCACCCAGUAUUCAAGGUGUGGGUGUCCUGUAAAUAUAUAAGUGGCAUUAUGAUAUUUUCUGUUUUAUUAUCUAUCCCUUACCAAAUGGUUCCUAACAUUCUGUUGGCUUUUUUGACUGCCACUGCACAUUGAGCAGAUGUUUUCAGAGAACUAUCCAUGAUGACUCCAAGAUCUUUCUUGAAUGAUAAUAGCUAAUUUAGACCCUGUCUUUUUGUAUGUGUAAUUGGAACUACAUUUUCCAAUGUGCAUUACUUUGUAUUUAUCAACAUUUUGAAUUUCAUCUGCCAUUUUGUUGCCCAGUCACCCAGUUUUGUGAGAUCCCUUUGUAACUCUUUGCAGUCUGCGUUAGACUUAAUUAUCUUGAGUGAUUUUGUAUCUACAGACUCUUCCACCUCACUGUUUACCCCUUGUCCCAGAACCUUUAUGAGUAUGUUGAAUAGCAAUUGCAGUACAGAUCUGUGGGGCCCCUGCUAUUUACCUCUCUCCAUUGGAAAAACUGACCAUUUAUUCCUACCCUUUGUUUCCUAUCUUUUAACCAGUUACCAGUCCAUGAGAGAACAUUCCCUCUUAUCCCAUGACUGCUUACUUUGCUUAAUAGCCUUUGGUGAGGUACCUUGCCAAAAGCUUUCUGAAAGUCCAAGUAGACUAUAUCUACUGGAUCAUUCUUGUCCGCAUGUUUGUUGACCCCCGUCAAAGAAUUCUAAUAGAUUGGUGAGGCAUGAUUUCUCUUUAGAAAAGCCUUGUUGACUCUUCCCCAAUAUAUUGUGUUAAUCUAUAUGUGUCUAAUUCUGUUGUUUGCUAUAGUUUCAACCAAUUUGCCUGCUACAGAAGUUAGGCUUACCACCUGGUAAUUGCCAGAAUUGCCUCUGGAGCCUUUUUUAAAAAUUUCACUGCCUCAGGAAGUGCAAUCUGUUCUCCAUUUGGGAGCCAUAGAGGAAGUAUCUCCACAAUAUGAAGGCAAAGGAUUUUAUUCCUACUAAUUCUACCUUCAUUCACAAGAGGGAAAGAGGGUUGGCUAACACUCCUCCAGGACUUGAGAAAGCUAACUAAAUUAACCAGGAAGCUAAAGUUCAGAAUGCUUUCACUUUCUUCCAUGAUGCUUUCCCUGGACCUUGGAAACUGGUUCUCUGCCCUUGAUUUACAGGAUAUUUAUUUCAAUGUGGCCAUAAGAAGUAUCUGAGAUUAAUGGUCAGAGAGACUCACUACCAAUGCAGGGUACUUCUCUUUGGCACUUCACUGGCACUGAGAGUUUUUACCAGAUGUAUGUAGUGGUAGCUUCCCUUCUCCGCUUUUUUUGUUCUUUCCUUGUGUGGAUGACUGGCUGGCCUCAGGCCAGCCAAAGGAGCAAGUAAGGUGAGUAUUCUUAGAAUCCAGUCACUGUUCAUUCAUCUGGGACUCAGAAUACAUGCAGAAAAGUCUACUUUAGUCCAGUUCAGAAGAUCAACUUGAUGGGAGCAGUCCUCAGUGCUCCUACAGUGACUGCUUACUGACCUCAGGACAAGUUUCUGUCCAUUGCCAAUAUUUGCAAGAGCCUCAAAAUGAACCCAGGACAAAGGUCCAUUCCUGCCUAUGACUUCUAGGUCAUUUGGCUUCACGAAUGUACAUGCACCCACAUGGCAGCCUUUACCUCAACUGCUUAUACUGGUUCCUCUCUGUUCAGGCACUCUCUGGACAUACUGCUUUGUGAAUCUCAGUGAGUGCUUUCCUCCCUGGAUUGGUGGAUAGAUCCAGAAAAUGUCUGUGCCUGAGUUCUUUUCUCCAAUCCAGAACCAACAAUGACUCUUGUCACAGAUGCCACCACCAUGAGUACUCUUUGAAGACAGAAAUGCUGAACCUCACAUUUCAUAAAUGGGGUACAUCUCUUUGCCUGGUCAGAGGGUUUUCUCUACACCUUUACUCCAAUUCUCUUGAUCCCAAAGUUGAUCAGAAAGCUAAAACAUGACCAGGCAACAUUAAUACUGAUAGUCUCAGCUUGGCCAAGAUAUUGUUGCUAUACAGAGCUCCAAGACCUCUUGAAACAACCUCCAGUAACCAGGCCAUUGAUCAAGAGAUUAUUGUCCUAGAAUCAGGGACACAUUCUACUUCACAAUCUAUAGUCUUCAUAGAAUUAUAGAUGUAUAGGGCUGGAAGGGACCUCAAGAAGCUAUCAUGUCCAGCCCUCUGCGCUGAGGCAGGACCAAGUAAACACAGAUAAUCCCUGAGAGGUGUUUGUCCUACCUGUUCUUAAAAACCUCCCAUGACAUGACAGGGAUUCCACAGCCUCCCUUGGAAGCCUGUUCCAGAGCUUAACUACCUUUAUAGUUAGAAAUAUUUUCCUAAUAUCUAACCUUAAAUCUUCCUUGCUGAAGAUUGAACCCUUAUUUCUUGUCCUACCUUUAGUGGACAUGGUGAACAACUGAUUACAGCCCUCUUUUUAUAACUGCUCUUAACAUAUGUGAAGAUUGUCCCCCCUCAGUUGUCUUUUCUCAAGAUAAAACAUGCAAAGCUACAGAAGGUUAAAAAAAAUCAGCAUGUAGUUAAGGAUCACUUUAACUAAUUACCUACCUCAAGGUGAGGGUCUACACUACAAUAAUCUGUGAGAGUUCAGCCCUGAGACUGGUUACAGUAGAGAGAUUAUCACUAGCGGGGGACCUCAUGGCGCAUAACAGCGACAAUACCCUGCUCUUUCUGCAAUGCUUAAUUUUAUUUUAUUCACUAGCCACACAACAAUAUGCACAUGGGCAGCCUGCAAAGGGCAGACAUUUGUAUUGUUCUCUCUCCCUAUUUGCACCACUCAGACCAUCUGUCAUGGGGAAAUCCAAAGCAUUAGUCAUUACUCUCACCAUCUGCAUUCUCCUCAUCGUCACCAUCACCAGCAGGUGUCAUACUGGUGUCUCCCACAGCUCUUAGGCUGGGUAACAUCUUUUAUAAUGUGUUUGUUGACACCCAUUGGGGUUUAUACGUUUGCAUAGCUGUUUCAAUCCCUUAUCCUUAUUUGAACUGCCACACCCCAUUAAUUUUAGAGUGUCUCACUUUUAAUAGGUUACUUAUGCAUUUACUUCAUAAUCAUUAGCCUUUAUGUAAAUCAGUUGGUAUUGCAUUAUUAUGGCUAAGCGUCUGAUAGUUUUGCUGACACCAAAAGUCUGAAGAGCAACCUGAAAUAUUAAUAGCAGGCGCUAACUGGUGUCUUGCAAAACAUCUAGCAAAUCUAUAUACUGUAACACGCAAGUUUUCUUGUAACUGACAUAGGGUCACUCAUCAGUUACUUAUGCUAACUGUUCUUUAGGUUUAAGGACUUGUUUGGCUUAGCAGAAUAUCUUACAGGCCUUGUGUUGCAGCUCUAAUCAAUACCAACUCCCUCAUGUUUCUUGCCAUUGGCUACACUUUUCUCCAAGGCCACGCUUUUUAAUCCUAUCAUCAUUUUUGUUGCUCUUCCCAGUUUGUCCAUCUCUUUCCUAAAGCGUGGCUCCCAGAAUGGGACAUGCUACUCCUGCUGAGGCCUCAUCAAGGGCUGAGUAGAGUGGGGAAAAAUAACUUCCAUGUCUUUGUAGCAGAGUGGAUCGCUGCUCCUGCCCUGAAGGGGUUAAAAACAGCCUGGGAAAGGGGCUGGGGCUGGAGAAAGCCCUUUUAGGCUGGGCUGAUUGGGGAAGUGGCUGCAGCUGGGGGCCACACCCCAAACUGAGCGACAGGGCCUAAUAAGAAGGCCAGGGAAGCCAAGGGCAGACAGUCUUCCUCUGCCUGUAGAGGGAGAAGGGCCUGGGUGCUGAGAACCAGAGCAGGUACCUAGGGUGAAGCAGUGCUGGGGAAAGGCAGAGGAGCUGGGGAACUCCUGCCUGGAAAGUCCCAGGCUGCGGCCUAGAAUUAGGCCAGGAGAUACUCGGGUUGUAGGGUGCAACCCAGGGGUAGGCCAAGGCAGCAGGUCCAAACCCCUUUGCUGAUGAUGAGUGGCUGAUACUGCAGUCUGCCCCAGGGCAUGGGGCUAGACAAUGACUGGCAGUAGCCUACACUGAAGCAAAGUGGGGAUGGAGGGUGGGGAGUUCCCAGGGAGGGGAAACCCCUAAGGAAAAGGGGUUGCUGCCAGGGGGCAGAACCCCACAUAAAAGGGGCACCAGGGUCCAGGGAGGGACAUGGGGCCUGUAGCAGGAAACAAGGCGGAUCACCGACCUGCAGAGGGCGCUCCAGGCUGGAACCUGAGCUAAUUCCUAAAGCAACCAGCAGGAGGCGCCGCAGGGAUGCAGCUCCAAAGCCUGUGACAGCAAAGGAGUUGAGAGCAGGAAAUUGCCAGGUGGUGGUUUGUGAAAACACAAAUGACGCAACUGACAGAGAUGGAGGUAUUUUUCCCCCAGGCUGGUGAGACACAAAAAGCAGUUAUGGAGAAGCUGCUGGGAAAAGGUGAAUCUGAUCGAAGGUUAAACACACCCAGCCCAGAGAGCACAGAUCACAGCCCUCUAGGGGGUGGGGAAGAACUCAGUGGUGGGAGGAGGAAACACAGGGUAGCCCCAAAAGGGGAGCUGGAUUUUCUGCAUAUGUACAGUCCUGGGGUUGGGCAACUGCUCCCCAAAGGGCCAACCAAUGUGCAGGAUCCCCCUGAACCUUUAUCUUGCCAGACCCUGAGAUAUCAAAAUGCCAGAAACAUGAUUAAAUGAAGAGCCCACACAGAAGGAAACACUGGAGGGAAAGAGAAGCCAGUGAUUGAUUAUAUGGGAAAGACUCAAAGGACACCAUGGAUAAUGAACAAACUAACCUCAAACUACACUAUCGGAACAGAGGGCGUGGUAUCAUAAAGAUACUUGUAAACCCCCAUCUGUGAUAAACAUUUUAGUAUUAAUAUUAAGUUCUGGGAUAAGAAUUUUGAUGCAGGUGUUAAACCUUAUGAUAAUGCUACUUUUCAAUUAAUACCUGUAAACAGGUUUAAAGCUAGUUUGCUGUGUGUGAAUAGGGAAGCUGUGGCACACUGCCUCAUGGCCUUAAUGGCUGGAUGCCAAGAGAACUAUAACACAAACUGACUAACCCUCUUGCAGUAAACUAAGGGGGGAGGUGUGACAUUCUGUACCUUGUGGGAACACCCUACACCCCCAUGUCCAUCCUUAUAAUAUGAUUGUGUGGUAGCUAAUGCGAAGUUUGUCAUGUCGGAUGUCUUCGGAAGGCUCAUGAUGCACUGAGCAUUGUGGUCAUAGUGAUGUUAUAGUAACUGUUGAUACAGUAAUGUGUUAGGUUAUAAUUUCACGUCUAUAGAUGUGAGGCUGAAAAUGUGUUUUCAUGACUUAAAAUAAGCCCAAGCACAAAUUCUCCCAGAGCAGAGGCAGUUCACACCUCAUCAGGGCAUGUAGGGGACAAACCCAGGCCAGCCUCACAGGAACAAAGGAUGCUGGCCUAGGCAGCAACAAAAGAAUCUGUUGGACUCUCAAUUGAGUCACCCCGUUUUACUUUGGACAGUUUGGGACUGCGAGGAGGUAAUGAUCACCUGACUCUGAAGUGGUGGUGGGUGAGGAGAGCCAAGGGGGAAGAGAGAGCAUGAUAAAAAGGAGAGACGUUUGCCAGGCUCUUCCUUUCUCUGCAUCUACAGACCCCACCACACCAAGUGACUGAAGCACUGAUCAAAGGGGAGAGCCUGGCUAAGAGCAACCAGCCAGCCUGUGAUGAGAAGCAUCUAAGUUUGUAAGGGCAUUGAAAGUGUUAAGCUCAGCUUAGAAUGUUUUGCUUUUCUUUCAUCUGAGCAAAUUUACUUAUGUUUUGACUUAUAAUCAUUUAAAAUGUAUCUUUAUAGCUAAUAAAUCUGUUUGUAUGUUCUA